UUUUUAUUGGACAUUGAUCAACAUGUGUCGCAAUUUUAUUGGAUGUUAAUUUUGUGCACGUAAUUAAUGUCAAUCUCCAAUAAAAUCAUGACACGUGACAGUUAAAGUCC
rfam:Glycine soja cultivar W05 scaffold708_54, whole genome shotgun sequence.